CAAUAGCGUAUAUUAAAGUUGUUGCGGUUAAAAAGCUCGUAGUUGGAUUUCUGCUGAGAACGACCGGUCCGCCCUCUGGGUGUGUAUCUGGCUCUUUCUUGGCAUCUUCUUGGUGAACGUUGCUGCACUUGACUGUGUGGAGCGCUACCCAGGACUUUUACUUUGAGGAAAUUAGAGUGUUUCAAGCAGGCAUACGCCUUGAAUACAUUAGCAUGGAAUAAUAAGAUAGGACCUCGGUUCUAUUUUGUUGGUUUCUAGAGCUGAGGUAAUGAUUAAUAGGGAUAGUUGGGGGCAUUCGUAUUUAACUGUCAGGGGUGAAAUUCUUGGAUUUGUUAAAGACGGACUACUGCGAAAGCAUUUGCCAAGGAUGUUUUCAUUGA
rnacentral:rRNA from 1 species